UUACAGGUGUUGCAUGGCUGUCGUCAGCUCGUGUCGUGAGAUGUUCGGUUAAGUCCGCUAACGAGCGCAACCCUCGUCGUAUGUUAUAUGUGUCAUACGAGACUGCCGGUAAAAAGCCGGAGGAAGGUGAGGAUGAUGUCAAGUCAGCAUGACCUUUAUAUCCAGGGCUACACACACGCUACAAUGGUCUGUACAAUGGGUAGCCAAGCCGCGAGGCGGAGCCAAUCCUGAAAGCAGGCCUCAGUUCAGAUUGCAGUCUGCAACUCGACUGCAUGAAGCCGGAGUUGCUAGUAACCGCAGGUCAGCAAUACUGCGGUGAAUACGUUCCCGGGUCUU
rnacentral:rRNA from 1 species